rnacentral:rRNA from 1 species
UACGAAGGGGGCUAGCGUUGUUCGGAAUUACUGGGCGUAAAGCGCGCGCAGGCGGUUCUCCAAGUCAGUGGUGAAAGCCCGGAGCUCAACUCCGGAACUGCCAUUGAAACUGUUGAACUUGAGGACGAGAGAGGUGAGUGGAAUUCCCAGUGUAGAGGUGAAAUUCGUAGAUAUUGGGAAGAACACCAGUGGCGAAGGCGGCUCACUGGCUCGUAUCUGACGCUCAGGCGCGAUAGCGUGGGGAGCGAUCCGG